rnacentral:lncRNA from 1 species
ACCAGAAAUGCAUAAAAUGCAGUAAUAGUAUUUACUAAGGACGAACGAGGGUAGUAGUUCAACGAAGCUUCGCCGGUUCAUCCCCACUACAAAUCCCCAGUAGAGCAAAUCUAUCUUUAUAGAUACUUCGAAUUACGUCUCCCCUUGAAUUUAUGUCCAUCUCUUUUAUCCUCAGUCGGGAUACUCAGGAACUUAUUCCUUCAAUAGAAGUACGACGAACGAAU